rnacentral:rRNA from 1 species
CCUACGGUAUGCAGCAGUGGGGAAUAUUGCACACUGGGGGAAACCCUGAUGCAGCAACGCCGCGUGAGUGAGGAAGUAUUUCGGUAUGUAAAGCUCUAUCAGCCUGGAAUAGAACAGAAGGUACCUGAAAAAGAAGCCCCGGCUAACUACGUGCCAGCAGCCGCGGUAAUACGUCGGGGGCACGCGUUAUCCGGAUUUACUGGGUGUAAAGGGAGCGUAGACGGAAUGGCAAGUCAGAAGUGAAAGCCCAAGGCUCAACCAUGGGACUGCUUUUGAAACUGUUAAACUAGAGUACGGGAGAGGUAAGAGGAAUUCCUAGUGUAGCGGUGAAAUGCGUAGAUAUUAGGAGGAACACCAGUGGCGAAGGCGUCUUACUGGACCGAAACUGACGUUGAGGCUCGAAAGCGAGGGGAGCAAACAGGAUUAGAUACCCUUGUAGUC